AUACCAGCGUUGAAGGUAUACCGGUAAGGAGUGCUGGAGCGGUAUGAAGUGAGCAUGCAGGAAUGAGUAACGAUAAGAUAUAUGAGAAUUGUAUCCGCCGUAAAUCUAAGGUUUCCUACGCGAUGGUCGUCAUCGUAGGGUUAGUCGGGUCCUAAGCCGAGUCCGAAAGGGGUAGGUGAUGGCAAAUUGGUUAAUAUUCCAAUACCGACUCAUGGAGCGUGAUGGGGGGACGCAUAGGGUUAAGCGAGCUAGCUGAUGGAAGCGCUAGCUAAGGGCGUAGAUUGGAGGGAAGGCAAAUCCACCUCUGUAUUUGAAACCCAAACAGGCUCUUUGAGUCCUUUUUAGGACAAAGGGAGAAUCGCUGAUACCGUCGUGCCAAGAAAAGCCUCUAAGCAUAUCCAUAGUCGUCCGUACCGCAAACCGACACAGGUAGAUGAGAUGAGUAUUCUAAGGCGCGUGAAAGAACUCUGGUUAAGGAACUCUGCAAACUAGCACCGUAAGUUCGCGAUAAGGUGUGCCACAGCGAUGUGGUCUCAGCAAAGAGUCCCUCCCGACUGUUUACCAAAAACACAGCACUUUGCCAACUCGUAAGAGGAAGUAUAAGGUGUGACGCCUGCCCGGUGCUCGAAGGUUAAGAGGAUGCGUCAGUCGCAAGAUGAAGCGUUGAAUUGAAGCCCGAGUAAACGGCGGCCGUAACUAUAACGGUCCUAAGGUAGCGAAAUUCCUUGUCGGUUAAAUACCGACCUGCAUGAAUGGCGUAACGAGAUGGGAGCUGUCUCAACCAGAGAUUCAGUGAAAUUGUAGUGGAGGUGAAAAUUCCUCCUACCCGCGGCAAGACGGAAAGACCCCGUGGACCUUUACUACAACUUAGCACUGCUAAUGGGAAUAUCAUGCGCAGGAUAGGUGGGAGGCUUUGAAGUAAGGGCUUUGGCUCUUAUGGAGCCAUCCUUGAGAUACCACCCUUGAUGUUUCUGUUAGCUAACUGGCCUGUGUUAUCCACAGGCAGGACAAUGCUUGGUGGGUAGUUUGACUGGGGCGGUCGCCUCCUAAAAAGUAACGGAGGCUUGCAAAGGUUGGCUCAUUGCGGUUGGAAAUCGCAAGUUGAGUGUAAUGGCACAAGCCAGCCUGACUGUAAGACAUACAAGUCAAGCAGAGACGAAAGUCGGUCAUAGUGAUCCGGUGGUUCUGUGUGGAAGGGCCAUCGCUCAAAGGAUAAAAGGUACCCCGGGGAUAACAGGCUGAUCUCCCCCAAGAGCUCACAUCGACGGGGAGGUUUGGCACCUCGAUGUCGGCUCAUCGCAUCCUGGGGCUGGAGCAGGUCCCAAGGGUAUGGCUGUUCGCCAUUUAAAGCGGUACGCGAGCUGGGUUCAGAACGUCGUGAGACAGUUCGGUCCCUAUCUGCCGUGGGCGUAGGAAAGUUGAGGAGAGCUGUCCCUAGUACGAGAGGACCGGGAUGGACGUGUCACUGGUGCACCAGUUGUUCUGCCAAGAGCAUCGCUGGGUAGCUACACACGGAUGUGAUAACUGCUGAAAGCAUCUAAGCAGGAAGCCAACUCCAAGAUGAACUUUCCCUGAAGCUCGCACAAAGACUAUGUGCUUGAUAGGGUAGAUGUGUGAGCGCAGUAAUGCGUUUAGCUGACUACUACUAAUAGAGCGUUUGGCUUGUUUU
rnacentral:rRNA from 1 species